rnacentral:rRNA from 1 species
CCUACGGGGGGCAGCAGUGAGGAAUAUUGGUCAAUGGGCUUACGCCUGAACCAGCCAAGUCGCGUGAGGGAAGACUGUCCUAUGGGUUGUAAACCUCUUUUGUCAGGGAGCAACGCCGGCUACGUGUAGCCGGACUGAGAGUACCUGAAGAAAAAGCAUCGGCUAACUCCGUGCCAGCAGCCGCGGUAAUACGGAGGAUGCGAGCGUUAUCCGGAUUUAUGGGGUUUAAAGGGUGCGUAGGCGGAAUGCCAAGUCAGCGGUAAAAUCGCGGGGCUCAACCUCGCUCAGCCGUUGAAACUGGCGUUCUUGAGUGGGCGAGAAGUAUGCGGAAUGCGUGGUGUAGCGGUGAAAUGCAUAGAUAUCACGCAGAACUCCGAUUGCGAAGGCAGCAUACCGGCGCCCAACUGACGCUGAAGCACGAAAGCGUGGGUAUCGAACAGGAUUAGAUACCCCAGUAGUC